rnacentral:rRNA from 1 species
GAUGAACGCUGGCGGCGUGCCUAAUACAUGCGAGUCGAGCGAACAGAUGAGGAGCUUGCUCCUCUGACGUUAGCGGCGGACGGGUGAGUAACACGUGGAUAACCUACCUAUAAGACUGGGAUAACUUCGGGAAACCGGAGCUAAUACCGGAUAAUAUAUUGAACCGCAUGGUUCAAUAGUGAAAGACGGUUUUGCUGUCACUUAUAGAUGGAUCCGCGCCGCAUUAGCUAGUUGGUAAGGUAACGGCUUACCAAGGCAACGAUGCGUAGCCGACCUGAGAGGGUGAUCGGCCACACUGGAACUGAGACACGGUCCAGACUCCUACGGGAGGCAGCAGUAGGGAAUCUUCCGCAAUGGGCGAAAGCCUGACGGAGCAACGCCGCGUGAGUGAUGAAGGUCUUCGGAUCGUAAAACUCUGUUAUUAGGGAAGAACAAAUGUGUAAGUAACUAUGCACGUCUAGACGGUACCUAAUCAGAAAGCCACGGCUAACUACGUG